GUAAGUUCUUCCUAACAUACACACUAGUACGUAUGCCAUUAUAUUAGUCCAUACAAGGAGGUUAUAUACCAAUCCAAAUCCACCCUUAGCAUAUGAAAACCAUAUCUUGUAACCUACUCCUAGUUUAAAACAGUAAAAGGGUACAAGAAAAUAUUCCAAACAAAGCUACCAUUAGAACAUACUUUUUUCAAGCUCUGGUUUUACAGAAAUUGAUUCACAUAUAACACUCAUCCAAUUUGCUUUUUUGGAGCUGAAAAGCAGGGUUGAUCCAGGCUCCACAGCUGCACUGCAUGCCAGCCCAGUUGAAGUAACCUAAGCGAGCUUUACAGCCCAUACACACAAGUUUCUCCUCCACUUGACCUUCUUUACCUGCUUGCAUCCACUUCAUGGGCUCAACAAAUAUUGAGGUGCAAUCAUCUGGUUGAUUUUUAUUUUCCCAGGAUCCACUGCUUCUUUUAUUCCACUUGAAGCUUGAUUCUCCUUUUCCACGCUCAUGGGAAAUCAUAUUUUCUUCUGAAGCAACGAUUCUUCUGCAUUUCUUACACCGGUAUAUAAGUUCAGGUUUGGCCACAAUUUCCGGCUCAGAGAUACUAGUUUCAGCCAUUUGAUUUUUCUGUAGCUCUUCUCUGAUUCUCCUUUUCCAAAUGGUUGUUAUUGUUAGUGGCGAAUUUGAGAAUCGGCGAAGGUUCUGGAAAAAACAGGAAACAAAGAAUUAUGGUCAAGUAAUCGAUCGUUUCUAG
rnacentral:lncRNA from 1 species